rnacentral:misc_RNA from 1 species
AACAAAUGAAAAUAGAUAUCAUGCAUGGAAAUGCAUGGAACAAUUGCGAGAUUAAGGAUAAACUUCAAUGAUAGAUCUUAAACCUAGCAUGGGGAUUAUCUUAUAAUUACCGAAGCCAGCAUCAGAAAAUAGUUGAGCCCAUUCUUUCUCAUUUCUCUCUUGACUAUUAUACAAGACCAUCAUGACUAGAUCAGAAAAGAGUUCUGUUUCAUUUGACUCAUGAUCCUCUUUCUGCUUCGUCUCCAUCACCAUAUCUAUAAUAAUCAACUUUCCCCCUUCUCUGCCCUUAAUUGCUUCUUUACAUCGCUUCAGUAUCUUAACACAGUUUUCAUGGCUCCAAUCGUGCAUAAUCCACUUCAAUAAAAUUGCAUCUGCAGGUGGAAUUGCCUCAAACAUGCUGCCACCAACAUAUUUCAAGUUGUUAGUACCUUGAAGCCCAGCCACCACAUGUGGGAGAUCAAAUACAAUGCAUUCCAAUUGAGGGAAUUCUUUAGCUAUGGCUUUAGCCACUGUUCCUGUUCCACCACCAACAUCAACCAAUGAUUGCAACCCCUCGAACACCCCCUUGCACUCAUUGAUCAGAACAUUCAUAACCAGCCGUGCAUCACUAGCCAUAGCUUCGUUAAAGAGAUUAUUGAAAUUUGGUUCAUGGGCAGCAUAUUCCCAAAUUGUCCUCUCAUUAGCAGUAGCAAAUGGAGUAGGAUCAUCAUUAAGGAACCAAGUGCUCAGAUAAUGCCAUGGUCUUGUUAAACAAGGGUCAAGCAUG